ACGAACGCUGGCGGCAUGCCUAACACAUGCAAGUCGAACGAGACCUUCGGGUCUAGUGGCGCACGGGUGCGUAACGCGUGGGGAUCUGCCCUUCGGUUCGGAACAACAGUUAGAAAUGACUGCUAAUACCGGAUAAUGACGUAAGUCCAAAGAUUUAUCGCCGAAGGAUGAGCCCGCGUAGGAUUAGCUAGUUGGUAAGGUAAAAGCUUACCAAGGCGACGAUCCUUAGCUGGUCUGAGAGGAUGAUCAGCCACACUGGGACUGAGACACGGCCCAGACUCCUACGGGAGGCAGCAGUGGGGAAUAUUGGACAAUGGGCGAAAGCCUGAUCCAGCAAUGCCGCGUGAGUGAUGAAGGCCUUAGGGUUGUAAAGCUCUUUUACCCGGGAUGAUAAUGACAGUACCGGGAGAAUAAGCUCCGGCUAACUCCGU
rnacentral:rRNA from 1 species